GGAUUACAGGCGUGAGCCACCACGCCCGCCCAGAAAGUGCUUUCUUUCAGAGGGUUACGGUUUGAGAAAAGCAGCAUUGAAGUUGACGCUGAUCUUGAUUCCAUUUUGGAUGCUCCCAUCGGGACUGUGUGUCCCUGUGCUGGAACUCGAGUGAACACUUGGCUCAAAAUCCAUUGCUGUUCUCUAGAAAUCCUGCCCUAUUCUCUUGGUGAAAUAUAAGGU
rnacentral:lncRNA from 10 species